UCUCCCCCUCUCUCUGCCCCUCCCCCGUUCAUGCUCUGUCUCUCUCUGUCCCAAAAAUAGAUAAACUUUGAAAAAAAAAUUAAAAAAAAAUAAUAAUAAAAUAAAAUAAAAUUAUGUGAUUUGGUCUUGAUUUGGAAAAUGGAGUCCUACCAUAUCUUUAUUCAUUUCCCAACUAGAAUUAUGUGAUUCUAGGAUAGAUACAGAACAACAUCCCAUUUCAUAUCCACUAUGCCACCUCCUUCUCAAGCCGUUCCUCUUCCAAAUUUUCAGCCACUUUAACAUUAAAAACUUUUCUACCUAAACUUAUACCUUCAGAACUAUAUAAUUUUAUCUUUUUCUAAAGUCAGUACAAAUUAUUUUUAACUCAUAAUGGUAUUUGUUCAGAACAGUUGGAUUGAAUGCUUACUGUGUGUAAUAUGCAUAAUGGAACCUUAAGUACAAUACUGAUACUGGGAAAGAUAAAGAAUUCAAAUAGUAAUUUUUGUCAGAGAAAAUUUGGGAAAUUAUUUGUGGAGCUUAGUUAUAAUUUUCCAGGGGAUAUGCCUUUAUUUUCUCUGUGUUCCAGGUCUUUCCUGAAAUUUAGAAGCCCCUUUGUUCCCCUUCCUUUCUGAUGCUAUCAGUGGUGAUGAUCACCUUUGAGGAAGAAAAGCCCACUUCCACUGACCAUGGAGAAUACACAGCAUCUCUGCUUGAUUGUGACAAGGGUAGUUUUUGGAUGGGUCAUGAAAUGCUUCUAAACUAGCCAAGAGUUAACUCUCCUAGCCUUUUUAUAUAAUAAGCAUGUUACCACCAAGGUAACUUAUCCAAGUGGAAUCAACUACAUAGUGGAAUCACAUUAUUUACACUUUUAACUUAUACAAAUUUAACACCACUAAAACACAAAUAAGAAAGUACAUGAGUGAGAGAGAAAAAUAAUAUUUUAAAUAGCACAUGUUUAACCUUCCUUUUCAGCAAGUCCCAGGCAAUGGAUAAAAUCAAAUCUGAAACAGUUGAUUCAUGUUGGUGAAAGCUACCGAAAGAACGUGAGGAUGUUUUUAAAGAUUUCCUGGUAAUUGAUAAAGCAUGUUCAGGUGGCCAGGCAAGUUUGGAGAGCUUCUUUGACAUUUACAAGGGUUAUUAAAGGUUGUUGAGAAGCUACAUUUAGGAGUUAGAGGAACUGACAAAAUCCUUUUCACAGAAUGACAUGGUGAGAACAAGUUGAAAUUUUUGUAAAUUUAUUAAGUGUUCAAAGGAGUGAAACACCUGAUUAAAUUUCUGAUGCUCUU